AGCUCCAGCUGGCUCCUCUGCUAGUCUUGCCGCAGUCACCAGUUAUGGAGGAAUGGGAGAGGAGCUUUCCACUUCUCUGAGAGUCAUGUCGAGAGUCUGUCUUAGCCCUCGACCCCUCAGUCUUUGUAGAUCUCAUCCCAGGACCCCGAGGGAGAGGCUCUUGUUUGCACCAAGUGUGGGGUGCAGCAAAGUGGACUCGGGACUGGCCGAUGUCUGGCCAGAAAUGCCAGGCAAGGGAAACAGUGACUCUAGUGGGGUCAGGAGAGGGGCAUCUGCUGGCCCAGGAGCGCAAGGCAGAGGGGAGCUCAUGGCACUUGAAAAUAUGGGCUUUGCAUCAUGCAGGUGGGUAGCGAUGAGGGCUACCCUUGCUUGCUUGGGAGGCAGAGGGGGCUCAGAGGUGGGAGGUAAAAAAGCUUGCAGCUUCUGAGAAGCUGUGGGU
rnacentral:lncRNA from 1 species